rnacentral:rRNA from 1 species
GGGCCCGCACAAGCGGUGGAGCAUGUGGUUUAAUUCGAUGAUACGCGAGGAACCUUACCAGGGCUUAAAUGUAGUAUGACCGGUCUAGAAAUAGGCCUUCCCUUCGGGGCAGAUUACAGGUGCUGCAUGGUUGUCGUCAGCUCGUGCCGUGAGGUGUUAGGUUAAGUCCUGCAACGAGCGCAACCCCUAUUCUUAGUUGCCAGCGGUUCGGCCGGGGACUCUAAGAAGACUGCCAGCGCAAGCUGAGAGGAAGGUGGGGAUGACGUCAAAUCAUCACGGCCCUUACGUCCUGGGCUACACACGUGCUACAAUGGUACAGACAGAGGGCAGCCACUACGCGAGUAGGAGCG